UCCAAGCACAGACCUUGAUGAACAGAGAC
rnacentral:piRNA from 1 species